AGUGAACGCUGGCGGUAGGCCUAACACAUGCAAGUCGAACGGCAGCACAGGAGAGCUUGCUCUCUGGGUGGCGAGUGGCGGACGGGUGAGGAAUACAUCGGAAUCUACUCUGUCGUGGGGGAUAACGUAGGGAAACUUACGCUAAUACCGCAUACGACCUACGGGUGAACGCAGGGGAACUUCGGGCCUUGCGCGAUUGAAUGAGCCGAUGUCGGAUUAGCUAGUUGGCGGGGUAAAGGCCCACCAAGGCGACGAUCCGUAGCUGGUCUGAGAGGAUGAUCAGCCACACUGGAACUGAGACACGGUACAGACUCCUACGGGAGGCAGCAGUGGGGAAUAUUGGACAAUGGGCGCAAGCCUGAUCCAGCCAUACCGCGUGGGUGAAGAAGGCCUUCGGGUUGUAAAGCCCUUUUGUUGGGAAAGAAAUCCAGCUGGCUAAUACCCGGUUGGGAUGACGGUACCCAAAGAAUAAGCACCGGCUAACUUCGUGCCAGCAGCCGCCGUAA
rnacentral:rRNA from 1 species